GAUCGAUUCAGACCAUGUUGUUUACAAUUAUUUAAGGAGCAUGCCAGUAAUUUAGCUCAUUUACUACAAUUCAUGAGUACUUUAUCCAAUUGCCAGUAGUUUUCCAAACCAUGUUGCAAUGUUUGGUAUUUCAACUAUCAGGUGAACGCAAACUGAUGGCACUCAGAGGAUUAAGCCUUCCGGCUUUGUUGGUCUUUUGACUUUAAGAGCUCACGUAAAUAUUUUACCAAUAAAUAUCCACAGUGAUUAGAUUGAACUGGACUCUGAAGCAUCAUGGGCAUAGUCUUUACUGAGUUCACUUCCUUUUGCACCAUUCAUUAAUGGGCUUUAGCCACUGGAUGGGUAGACAUGGACAUUGGUGUGCUUGUCCCCUAAAAUGCCUUUUGACUUUUCUUUUGGCAAACCCUUUCAAACCCUGUCUCAGUUUGUUAUUUGGAGGCAUGGCGCUUUAUGUGAUAAUUUGUCACUGACAAACUAUCCACUAAGGCCUCACCUCAUCUUUACUGGAGUCAGCCUGGGACCAUCAAACAUCUUUGCAGUGUUGGGCCCUAUAGAGGCAUUUUUAUUGCAACUGCCUGACAAAUAAUGCAGUUAAUUGUGCUAGCAGCUGUCUGUGCUCCAGUCAGUGAGUGAAAUUCACUCUAUUGUAUUUGUAUAUUUAUUGCAUGUAUGCAUGAUACUUCUGCACUGUCCGUGCAUGCACCUAUGGUUAGCCAUUUACGUCCUUGUCCAAAUAUGGUAAUAUUUGGCUUAAAAAAAACUAUUUUUAUUUAUUUAUUUCUGAUGGACAUGAUGUGUCCCUCUGUCACUGAUUUGAAGCAGGACCUUAUAAACCAAUGGGUCAUAUAGUGUUGGCUAAUCAGUCAUUUAUAUACCGUAUAUGGCUAUACUUUGUUUUUAUUAGUAAUUUGGAAAUGUUACAGUUAUAACACAGGAAAUCACAAAGGAACAUGGUAAACACAAUACCUGCCAACAUUAGCAUGAUACAAUGGUGACUGUGAGCAUGCUGCAUAUUAGUGUUAGCAGUUAGCUUAAGAUAUCGCUCUACAAUAUAUUAUCUUAAAGCAGCUAGUAUUGCUGUAGUUAUUUGUCUUGUCUUACCCCUACAUUACAGACAGCAGUUAGUUUCCAUGCGUUUGUAUGAAUAUAAAAUAGAAGAAACUUGAUACUUACUUAAUGUAAUGAUCUUUAAUGAAUGUAAACCAAUGUCCAUGCAAGUGUUAACAAAACUGCAAAACAGUUGGUAGUGUAGUAACUCUAGUAUUAAAUGUUCUGAAGUAUACAUGAAAUGUAGUUAUUUAGCUAAAAAUGCUGGCAUGGUGAUUCAGUCGCUUUGCUCAAAGAAGUAAUUUGAUCUGAUGAAACGCUUAAACAGAAUCCCUUUAGAGAUGCAUGGAAAACAAUGGAGAAAGAACAUAACCUCCACAGCCAUCCAGAUGUUUCAUUCUACUCUUAAGUGCUAAAAUCAGAUGCUGUCACCUCAGGAAUAAUGUACUCUAGAUGUGAUAUGAAGUGUUUUUGAUUCUGUUGGUGCUCUUGGUGUGGAUCGUGUGGGUUGGCCUUUUUAUUUCUGGAACCUUUUGCCACCAAGUACUUCGACAGUCUCAGCUUCAGAUGGGUCUAAGUGGGCCUCUCUGUCAGUCUCCCUUGAUUGUGGUUUAGUAUGUUACACUUGAUUUUCCAGAGUGAGUCAUGUUAAAACAAAAAAUGUACAAUAGAAAAAAAGAACAAUGUUUAUAAUCCUGGGAAAGAAAAAAGUUUUUGUUCAUGUGCAAAUAAGGUAUAUACAGAAUAAAAC
ensembl:lncRNA